CAUCAGAGCCACCUACGAAAUUUCACUGGCUUUGGAUGCAGCCUGGGCACCAGGAUUUUCAAAACUUCCCCAGGUGGCUGUAAUAUGCAGCUUAGAUUGAGACCACUGGUAGACUCAGACAUGUGAUGCUUGCCACUCUCCUAUUCGGAAUAGACUAAAGCAGUGGCUCUCAAAAUUUAGGCACAUUACUAUUAGCUGGAGGCUUGUUAAAACCUAGAUUUCUGGAAAGAAGGGUAAACAACCUAAUGAUGAAUCUUAAAUAAAUAGAAAAGCAAGAGUAAACAAAAUCCAAAAUUAGAAGAAAGAAAUCAUAAAAAUCAGAGCAGAAAUAAAUGAAAUUUAAAUUUAAAAAAUACAAAAGAUCAACAAAAGGAAAAGUUGAUUUUUUGAAAAGAUAAACAAAAUCAACAAACCUUUAACCCAACUAAGAAAAAAGAUAGAAGACUCAAAUAAAUAAAAUCCGAGAUGAAAAAGGAGACAUUGCAACUGAUACCACAGAAAUUCAAAGGAUUAUUAGAGGAGCAAUGUUCAGUGCACAUUCACAAGUAAAAUAAUCAUUGUGUGAAGGCGCUGGUGACCAGUUAGACAUGGCGCCACAGCUCAGCACCUCCUUCCUGCACUGAGUUGUCCUGGGGGCAGCAUGGUGGGAGCAGGGCUAUAAGAACAGGCUCUGGUCCUGACACCACCACCUCCUAACGGAGCGAUUUUGGUUAAGUUCCUUUUGGGAGACAAUUCUCUGUGGGUCUCUAUUGUUUCUUCAUAGCUGGUGAGCUGUGGUAUUGGCCACCUCUGUUCUAGGACUCUUUCCAAGGAUGUUUCUAUAGUCAGCAGCCCUCAGUUACCACUGACAACUUUUAAAAAUAUUCUGAAGAGGCCGGGCACAGUGGCUCACAUCUGUAAUCCCAGGACUUUGGUAGGCCAAGGUGGGCGGAUCACCUGAGGUUGGGAGUUCAAGACCAGCCUGGGAGGCUGAGGUAGGAGAACCACUUGAAGCUGGGAGGCGGAGGUUUCGGUGAGUGCGCUACUGCACUCCAGCCUGGGCAACAAGAGUGAAACUCCUUCUCAAAAAAAAAAAAAAAAAAAAAAAUCUGAAGAGAGGGGACAGAAAACUGAACAAGUGAAAAAAUCCCAGUUUCAACAAGAUGGAUCCCAGACACUGCAGACAGCCCAGUUAGAUGUGGGCUCCUAAAAUCAUUCUAGAAUAGAUGAUAGUAUGGCCUGAUUUCAGCAAGAAUGGGCAACAUGGGAAGGAGGAAUGAGGGUUGGAUGGGAAUUGAAGUAAUGCACCUAUUGUAUGAAAGAGGAUUCCAAAUACAAAUGAGGAUGGAAACGCAACAUGCCUAAAAGUAUGGGAUACAGUGAAAGCAGUACUAUGAUGAAAGUUUGUUGCAAUAAGCAUGUUCAAUAGAAAAGCAAGAGUAAACAAAAUCCAAAAUAUGGGAAAGAAAUCNNNNNNNNNNNNNNNNNNNNNNNNNNNNNNNNNNNNNNNNNNNNNNNNNN
rnacentral:lncRNA from 1 species